UUGGGAUGAGGAAUUGUAAGCACUGGGCACUGAUUUUUUAAUCACAUAAAAAAUUUCAUGAGUGACAACGCUUUUAUCGGCAGAGCCUCAGAAACUCUGCCACUGACUGA
rnacentral:snoRNA from 1 species